UACGAAGGGGGCUAGCGUUGCUCGGAAUCACUGGGCGUAAAAGCGCACGUAGGCGGAUCUUUAAGUCAGGGGUGAAAUCCCGGAGCUCAACUCCGGAACUGCAUUUGAAACUAUAUGGCUAGAGGGAACUUAGGGAAAACGGAAUUCCACGUGUAGCGGUGAAAUGCGUAGAUAUGUGGAAGAACACCGGUGGUGAAGGCGGGUAGCUGGGCCAACACUGACGCUGAGACGCGAAAGCUAGGGGAGCAAACGGG
rnacentral:rRNA from 1 species